AGCGUAGGUGGCCUAACAUGUCAACUGUGAAAACCCGGAGCUCAACUCCGGACUUGCAGUUGAAACUGGUAGGCUUGAGGACGGUAGAGGAAGACGGAACUGCCAGUGUAGGGGUAAAAUCCUUAGAUAUUGGCAGGAACGCCGGUGACGAAGGUGGUUUUCUGGGCCGGUUCUGACACUGAUGCUCGAAAGCCAGGGGAGCGAAUG
rnacentral:rRNA from 1 species